AAUGAACGCUGGCGGCGUGCCUAAUACAUGCAAGUCGAACGGUAAGAGGAGGGAGUUGCCGACGUGGCUGUAUCGUGGGGCAAGAGAGACUAAUGUAUAGGACAUCUCUCGCAUACUGGGAUAUAUCCAGUAGACGCGCUGAGGAAGAAUGAAUUAUCGCGAAAGGGGUGGGUUGUUCGCGAUUGGAUCUGCCUAUGUCCUAUCGCCUUGUUGGUGAGGUAAUGGCUCACGAAGGCAAUGACGGGUAUCCGGCCUGAGAGGGUGAACGGACACACUGGAACUGAGACACGGUCCAGACUCCUACGGGAGGCAGCAGUAGGGAAUAUUGCUCAAUGGGGGAAAGCCUGAAGCAGCCACGCCGCGUGGAGGAUGAAGGUCUUCGGAUUGUAAAGUCCUUUUAUAGGUGAAGAUUAUGACGGUAUCUUAGGAAUAAGCACCGGCUAACUUCGUG
rnacentral:rRNA from 1 species